UACAGAGGGGGCGAGCGUUGUUCGGAAUUACUGGGCGUAAAGGGCGCGUAGGCGGCCCGCUAAGUCGAACGUGAAAUCCCCAGGCUCAACCUGGGAACUGCGUCCGAUACUGGCAGGCUUGAAUCCGGGAGAGGGAUGUGGAAUUCCAGGUGUAGCGGUGAAAUGCGUAGAUAUCAGGAGGAACACCAGCGGCGAAGGCGGCGCUCUGGGCUGGAACUGACGCUGAGGAGCGAAAGCGUGGGGAGCGAACAGG
rnacentral:rRNA from 1 species